GGCGGAUCAGACAGCGGAGAGCAGUCACCGCAGGGCGGCCAGCCGGACCGGGGACGGCGCGAACCGGACAGCCAGUGGCCCAAGGCAGGGGCCAGCCUGUCCCUCCCUCCCCGCCCUCGCUCUCCCUCUCCCGCCCUCAGCCCGGCCUCUCAACUCCCUACUUCGCGUGUCCACAAACUCUGAACGCCCAGUGUCCGCGCAUCGCCGCCGCCGGAGUUCUCCACCCUGCGUCCCGGGGGCCCUUCCCAGCUUCUCCUCCUCCCACCUUGGGGGAACCUAGCGGAGCCAGGCGGGGACGGCUCCCCGGCGGGUGGAGCAGCCAGGUGAGCCCAGAAAGGUGGGGCGGGGCGGGAGCGCUCCGGGCCCCACCCCGGGAUCCGGUGACGCCGGGGCUGGAAUUUGACACCGGACGGCGGCGGGCAUGAGACUGCUGAGGGAUGGAGUUGGGCCCGGCCCCCAGACACGGCCCACGGGCUCCACCAGCAGCAGGUCCCUCGGGCCCCAGCCCUCCCUGCGUCCCAGACCCAGGGCCCUGCACCCGCGGGCACAGACUGGCUGCCAAGGCCACACUUUUGGCUAAAAGGCGCUGCCAGGUGCAUAGUCCUGGGCAUGAGCCUUUUGAGCUGCGGGGGAAAGCCGGGCACUGGUCCCAGGAAAGGUGCCUAGAAGAACACGGCGCAGGAUUCCUGUGUGAGAGCCUGGCCCCUCAGGGCCCGUUUUCAAUUAGCUGAUCACACUUGGCCCUGAAGGACCCCACCAGGGAGGCCUGGGAGAUCCAGACCACAGGUAUGAGGCAUUCUGUGUGCUUGGGGGUGGGGGUGAAGGUGACGGCUGGGACCCAAGAGUUGGCCAGUUACUGAGGGCUCAUGAGGGCUCUGGGGCCCCGGAGUAUUUGGGAGUGCCGGCCAAUGUGGACUCAUGAAGGCUGGUGGGACUCAGAAAGGCUGGCUGAGCUCAGGAAGCAUGGCUCGUGGGACGAACUUCUAGGAGCAGGGCCAGGCUGCCAGAUCCACAGGAAGCUGGAAUGGGACAGACUUGGCCCAGCUCUCAGAGACCAGGCUGGUAUGGAGGCCUGGCUGGC
rnacentral:lncRNA from 1 species